UCCGCAAUGGACGAAAGUCUGACGGAGCAACGCCGCGUGAGUGAUGACGGCCUUCGGGUUGUAAAGCUCUGUUAAUCGGGACGAAAGGCCUUCUUGACGAAAAGUUAGAAGGAUUGACGGUACCGGAAUAGAAAGCCACGGCUAACUACGUGCCGCGCCGCGGUAAUACGUAGGUGGCAAGCGUUGUCCGGAAUUAUUGGGACGUAAAGCGCGCGCGGCGGAUCUGUAGUCUGUCUUAAAAGUUCGGGGACUUAACCCCGUGAUGGGAUGGAAACUGCUGAUCUAGAGUAUCGGAGAGGAAAGUGGAAUUCCUAGUGUAGACGGUGAAAUGCGUAGAUAUUAGGAAGAAC
rnacentral:rRNA from 1 species